CCAGUCCAGGUUCUCCUCCCUCUUAUCUUCUUGAAGAUGCUUCAUAUUCCAGUCCAUAUUCAUAUCCCUCAAGCCGUCAUUUAUACCCCUUCAAUUUGUUGUUUCAUUUUGCUCCUCUUGCUGCUCGGGCUCUGCAAUUCUGUUAUAAAAUCCUCCUAAUGCUAUGAAAUGGCGAAGUGCAACUCACGACGCAGCUUCAGAUCCCGAUCUCUGAAAAAGGAUUCUGAUUUCUAUACGUCACGUCCCGCCGUCGUGAAGUGCUAACCCACUCCAGCAUCAGCACCACAAACAGAGCUCAUAUGUGGUUAGGAAGUGGUUGAGUGGGAUCAGUCCAUAUUCACAUGAAGUAGUUCCUCUGCAACAUUCAGGCAUAUCAAAGUCGAUGUCAAAGAUAACCCUUCGUAUCUCAAUGGUGAGUAUUCCCUGGAUUUCGAACCAUCAGUUGUUCGAUGCAAGCAUCUGCGCCCUACAAUGUGCUGCUUUGUGUGGGUUGUGUUGUCUUCUCUUGAAGGCUCAGAUUUGGAUAGCUUCAUUUCAAUGCUGAGAUGAACAGCUUCAGAUCACCAUUGGCUUACUUUAUUUUCAACCAACUCCAGUCAAACUCUCCGGAGCCUGAGUAUGCCAAGCAGCAUGAAGAAGCAGCAGUUGCUACUACUAAUUAUCUUCUUCUCCCUACUGUCUAUAUUGCGCCUGAUCAAUAGAAUGGUCCAAUUGACGAUUAAUGGACUGAUGUUCUACAUGAUCCUAUUCCUACUGCCCUUGGUUUUGUCUCUUAAAAUAGGAGAAGAAG